ACGAACGCUGGCGGCGUGGAUAAGACAUGCAAGUCGAACGCUGAUUACGAGGGUAGCAAUAUUUCGUGGUCGGAGUGGCGCAAGGGUGCGUAACACGUGGGUAAUUUGCCGUGAAGCCCGGAAUAACUCGCUGAAAGGCGAGCUAAUACCGGAUGUGAUCUUCGGGAGGCCUCUCCUGAACCUUAAAGCUGGGGACCGUAAGGCCUGGCACUUCACGAUAAGCCCGCGGCCUAUCAGCUAGUUGGUGAGGUAACGGCUCACCAAGGCUAAGACGGGUAGCUGGUCUGAGAGGACGACCAGCCACACUGGAACUGAGACACGGUCCCGACACCUACGGGUGGCAGCAGUCGAGAAUUUUUCACAAUGGGCGCAAGCCUGAUGGAGCGACGCCGCGUGGGGGAUGAAUGGCUUCGGCCCGUAAACCCCUGUCAUUUGCGGAACAAACCUUGUUAUUUAAAAGAUGACGAGCUGAUUGUAGCGAAAGAGGAAGGGACGGCUAACUCUGUGCCAGCAGCCGCGGUAAUACAGAGGUCCCGAGCGUUGUUCGGAUUCACUGGGCGUAAAGGGUGCGUAGGUGGUCGGGUAAGUCCGAGGUGAAAUCUCCAAGCUUAACUUGGAAACUGCCUUGGAUACUAUUCGGCUGGAGGGUUGGAGGGGGGACUGGAAUGCUUGGUGUAGCAGUGAAAUGCGUAGAUAUCAAGCGGAACACCAGUGGCGAAGGCGAGUCCCUGGACAACUCCUGACACUGAGGCACGAAAGCUAGGGGAGCAAACAGGAUUAGAUACCCUGGUAGUCCUAGCCGUAAACGGUGCGCAUUGCUGUAAAAGGAAUCGACCCCUUUUGUGGCGAAGCUAACGCGUUAAAUGCGCCGCCUGGGAAGUACGGUCGCAAGAUUAAAACUCAAAGAAAUUGACGGGGGCCCGCACAAGCGGUGGAGCAUGUGGUUCAAUUCGAUGCAACGCGAAGAACCUUACCUGGGUUUGAACUGCUACUGAAGUUUCCAGAGAUGGGAACGGCUAGCAAUAGACAGUAGUAGAGGUGCUGCAUGGCUGUCGUCAGCUCGUAUCGUGAGAUGUUGGGUUAAGUCCCGCAACGAGCGCAACCCUUGCCUCUAGUUGCUCGCUGUAACAGGCAGCACUCUAGAUGGGACUGCCGGUGAUAAACCGGAGGAAGGUGGGGAUGACGUCAAGUCAUCAUGGCCUUUAUGUCCAGGGCUACACACGUGCUACAAUGAGCGGUACAAAGGGUCGCCAACCCGCAAGGGGGAGCCAAUCCCGUUAAAACCGUUCUCAGUUCGGAUUGCAGUCUGCAACUCGACUGCAUGAAGGUGGAAUCGCUAGUAAUCGCGGAUCAGCAUGCCGCGGUGAAUACGUUUCCGGGCCUUGUACACACCGCCCGUCACACCACGAAAGUGGAUUGUACCCGAAGUCGCCGUGCUAACCGUAAGGAAGCAGGUGCCCAAGGUAUGAUUC
rnacentral:rRNA from 1 species